CACUAUCUCAGCAUGAAUACAUAGUGCUGUGAGGCGAACCGGGGGAACUGAAACAUCUAAGUACCCCGAGGAAAAGAAAUCAACCGAGAUUCCCCCAGUAGCGGCGAGCGAACGGGGAACAGCCCAGAGCCUGAAUCAGCUUGUGUGUCAGUGGAACGGUCUGGAAAGGCCGGCGAUACAGGGUGACAGCCCCGUACACGAAGGCACACAGGUUGUGAGCUCGAUGAGUAGGGCGGGACACGUGAUAUCCUGUCUGAAGAUGGGGGGACCAUCCUCCAAGGCUAAAUACUCCUGACUGACCGAUAGUGAACCAGUACCGUGAGGGAAAGGCGAAAAGAACCCCGGCGAGGGGAGUGAAACAGAACCUGAAACCGUGUACGUACAAGCAGUGGGAGCCUUCGUAAGAGGGUGACUGCGUACCUUUUGUAUAAUGGGUCAGCGACUUAUAUUCUGUAGCAAGGUUAACCGUAUAGGGGAGCCGAAGGGAAACCGAGUCUUAAUUGGGCGUUAAGUUGCAGGGUAUAGACCCGAAACCCGGUGAUCUAGCCAUGGGCAGGUUGAAGGUUGGGUAACACUAACUGGAGGACCGAACCGACUAAUGUUGAAAAAUUAGCGGAUGACCUGUGGCUGGGGGUGAAAGGCCAAUCAAACCGGGAGAUAGCUGGUUCUCCCCGAAAGCUAUUUAGGUAGCGCCUCGUGAACUCAUCUUCGGGGGUAGAGCACUGUUUCGGCUAGGGGGCCAUCCCGGCUUACCAACCCGAUGCAAACUACGAAUACCGAAGAAUGUUAUCACGGGAGACACACGGCGGGUGCUAACGUCCGUCGUGAAGAGGGAAACAACCCAGACCGCCAGCUAAGGUCCCAAAGUCAUGGUUAAGUGGGAAACGAUGUGGGAAGGCACAGACAGCCAGGAUGUUGGCUUAGAAGCAGCCAUCAUUUAAAGAAAGCGUAAUAGCUCACUGGUCGAGUCGGCCUGCGCGGAAGAUGUAACGGGGCUAAACCAUGCACCGAAGCUGCGGCAGCGACACUAUGUGUUGUUGGGUAGGGGAGCGUUCUGUAAGCCUGUGAAGGUGUGCUGUGAGGCAUGCUGGAGGUAUCAGAAGUGCGAAUGCUGACAUAAGUAACGAUAAAGCGGGUGAAAAGCCCGCUCGCCGGAAGACCAAGGGUUCCUGUCCAACGUUAAUCGGGGCAGGGUGAGUCGACCCCUAAGGCGAGGCCGAAAGGCGUAGUCGAUGGGAAACAGGUUAAUAUUCCUGUACUUGGUGUUACUGCGAAGGGGGGACGGAGAAGGCUAUGUUGGCCGGGCGACGGUUGUCCCGGUUUAAGCGUGUAGGUGUGUGUUCCAGGUAAAUCCGGUUCACUUUAACACUGAGGCGUGAUGACGAGGCACUACGGUGCUGAAGUAACAAAUGCCCUGCUUCCAGGAAAAGCCUCUAAGCAUCAGGUAACAUCAAAUCGUACCCCAAACCGACACAGGUGGUCAGGUAGAGAAUACCAAGGCGCUUGAGAGAACUCGGGUGAAGGAACUAGGCAAAAUGGUGCCGUAACUUCGGGAGAAGGCACGCUGACAUGUAGGUGAAGCCCCUGCGGGUGGAGCUGAAGUCAGUCGAAGAUACCAGCUGGCUGCAACUGUUUAUUAAAAACACAGCACUGUGCAAACACGAAAGUGGACGUAUACGGUGUGACGCCUGCCCGGUGCCGGAAGGUUAAUUGAUGGGGUUAUCGCAAGAGAAGCUCCUGAUCGAAGCCCCGGUAAACGGCGGCCGUAACUAUAACGGUCCUAAGGUAGCGAAAUUCCUUGUCGGGUAAGUUCCGACCUGCACGAAUGGCGUAAUGAUGGCCAGGCUGUCUCCACCCGAGACUCAGUGAAAUUGAACUCGCUGUGAAGAUGCAGUGUACCCGCGGCAAGACGGAAAGACCCCGUGAACCUUUACUACAGCUUGACACUGAACAUUGAGCCUUGAUGUGUAGGAUAGGUGGGAGGCUUUGAAGCGUGGACGCCAGUCUGCGUGGAGCCAACCUUGAAAUACCACCCUUUAAUGUUUGAUGUUCUAACCUGGCGCC
rnacentral:rRNA from 1 species